rnacentral:rRNA from 1 species
UAGGCUGAGAGCUGAUGACGAGUGUCACCGGAAGGUGACGCGAAGUGGUUGAUGCCAUGCUUCCAAGAAAAGCUUUUAAGCUUCAGAUAUAAAGGAACCGUACUGUAAACCGACACAGGUGAUCAGGUAGAGAAUACCAAGGCGCUUGAGAGAACUCGGGUGAAGGAACUAGGCAAAAUGGUACCGUAACUUCGGGAGAAGGUACGCCGGUUUGGGUGAUGGGACUUGCUCCUUGAGCCUGGGCUGGCCGAAGUGACCAGGUGGCUGCGACUGCUUAUUAAAAACAUAGCACUGUGCAAACACGUAAGUGGACGUAUACGGUGUGACGCCUGCCCGGUGCCGGAAGGUUAAUUGAUGGGGUUAUCUUCGGAGAAGCUCUUGAUCGAAGCCCCGGUAAACGGCGGCCGUAACAAUAACGGUCCUAAGGUAGCGAAAUUCCUUGUCGGGUAAGUUCCGACCUGCACGAAUGGCGUAACGAUGGCCACACUGUCUCCACCCGAGACUCAGUGAAAUUGAAAUCGCUGUUAAGAUGCAGUGUACCCGCGGCUAGACGGAAAGACCCCGUGAACCUUUACUAUAGCUUCACACUGGACUCUGACCUUACUUGUGUAGGAUAGCUGGGAGGCUUUGAAGCGGUGGCGCCAGCCAUCGUGGAGCCAACCUUGAAAUACCAGCCUGGUAAUGUUGGGGUUCUAACUCAGGUCCGUAAUCCGGAUCGAGGACAGUGUGUGGUGGGUAGUUUGACUGGGGCGGUCUCCUCCCAAAGAGUAACGGAGGAGCACGAAGGUGCGCUAAUCACGGUCGGAAAUCGUGAGGUUAGUGUAAAGGCACAAGCGCACUUGACUGCGAGUCUGACAAGACGAGCAGGUACGAAAGUAGGUCUUAGUGAUCCGGUGGUUCUGUAUGGAAGGGCCAUCGCUCAACGGAUAAAAGGUACUCCGGGGAUAACAGGCUGAUACCGCCCAAGAGUUCACAUCGACGGCGGUGUUUGGCACCUCGAUGUCGGCUCAUCACAUCCUGGGGCUGAAGCCGGUCCCAAGGGUAUGGCUGUUCGCCAUUUAAAGUGGUACGCGAGCUGGGUUUAGAACGUCGUGAGACAGUUCGGUCCCUAUCUGCCGUGGGCGUUGGAGAAUUGAGGGAAGCUGCUCCUAGUACGAGAGGACCGGAGUGGACGAACCGCUGGUGUUCGGGUUGUGUCGCCAGACGCAUUGCCCGGUAGCUACGUUCGGACAGGAUAAGCGCUGAAAGCAUCUAAGCGCGAAGCCCCUCCCAAGAUAAGUUCUCCCUGACCCCUUGAGGGUCCUGAAGGGCCGUCGAAGACUACGACGUUGAUAGGCUGGGUGUGUAAGCGUUGUAAGGCGUU